GAGUUAGCAAUGAUUAUAAAAAUAAUUGCUCAUUCUGACUUGCUUAAUUUAAACAUGAUAAAUCUCUUAUUACAAUCAUAGAAUCUGAGCUUC
rnacentral:snoRNA from 1 species